rfam:Capsicum annuum cultivar Zunla-1 chromosome 4, whole genome shotgun sequence
GACUAGGUGACAUAAUGGAAAUAUAUUGGACUGCAAAUCCAAGAAUGAUGGUUUGACCCCGUCCUUGGCCU